rnacentral:rRNA from 1 species
UAAAGGUAUUCCGGUAGACGAUGGGGAUGCGUUCCAUUAGAUAGUAGGCGGGGUAACGGCCCACCUAGUCUUCGAUGGAUAGGGGUUCUGAGAGGAAGGUCCCCCACAUUGGAACUGAGACACGGUCCAAACUCCUACGGGAGGCAGCAGUGAGGAAUAUUGGUCAAUGGGCGAGAGCCUGAACCAGCCAAGUAGCGUGAAGGAUGACUGCCCUAUGGGUUGUAAACUUCUUUUAUAAAGGAAUAAAGUCGGGUAUGGAUACCCGUUUGCAUGUACUUUAUGAAUAAGGAUCGGCUAACUCCGUGCCAGCAGCCGCGGUAAUACGGAGGAUCCGAGCGUUAUCCGGAUUUAUUGGGUUUAAAGGGAGCGUAGAUGGAUGUUUAAGUCAGUUGUGAAAGUUUGCGGCUCAACCGUAAAAUUGCAGUUGAUACUGGAUAUCUUGAGUGCAGUUGAGGCAGGCGGAAUUCGUGGUGUAGCGGUGAAAUGCUUAGAUAUCACGAAGAACUCCGAUUGCGAAGGCAGCCUGCUAAGCUGCAACUGACAUUGAGGCUCGAAAGUGUGGGUAUCAAACAGGAUUAGAUACCCUGGUAGUCCACACGGUAAACGAUGAAUACUCGCUGUUUGCGAUAUACGGCAA